UGGGGGAAGUUUUUCCGCAAUGGGCGAAAGCCUGACGGAGCAAUGCCGCGUGGAGGUGGAAGGCCUACGGGUCGUCAACUUCUUUUCUCGGAGAAGAACAAUGACGGUAUCUGAGGAAUAAGCAUCGGCUAACUCUGUGCCAG
rnacentral:rRNA from 1 species